AAUAGAAUAGACUUUAUUUGAAUAGAAUAGACUUUAUUUGCCAUUUGCACAGACACAUAACAGUAUAGGCACACUGGAAUUCUUGUGCGUUUCCCUGAGUCGGAAAAGGGAGCUUGAACAUAAAGUAAAGGUAUGACAAAAAACAGGCAGACACAAA